ACCAACAAAUAUUCUAUUUCUUCAUUGGUCUUCUCUUUUCCUUGGCUCAGAAUCUCCUUUGGUGUUAUUUUUCAGAUGGAAGAUGUCCAGGUGGACCCAGAAGAAGAUCUCAUUGCUAUAAUGAAUGAGAGAACUGUAACUGUCACAAAACAACACUGCCCAGAUGCAAGUUUCUUUCCCUGUGGCCUCUGGAAUACUCCUUGCUGGAAAAGCCCCACCAGUAUGCCCAACUUCAAUCACAGCUAAAGAAAAAUAUCUACUCCAAGGGUGAGCAGUGUAUUUGCUCACAGCUGCCCACUAUCCUUUAUCUCCUUGAGUCUUCCCUCUCUUUAGUGAGUUUGACUUCAAUCAGUCCUUUCACUUGCAAUGAUAUAUUAAUAUCCCAGACACAAAAGAAACAAUAGGGAAAAAAACAACCUGUUCCCCGUUGAACUGCUUUCAGCAGAUUCCUCCAUCUCCACAAUCUGGCAUUCACUGUAGAUGGACCCUGUAGCAUGCCCUCUCAGCAGUUAGAGCUCCUCUGAGCUCUUAGACUGAAACUCAAUCUUCUUCCCCGCCUCUGGAGUCUCUGUCACUCUUCCCUGCACUCCCGUCCGUACCACUGGCUUGCUUGCAUCCUUCAUUCUCCCUCUCCUCUCCUGCAGGUUUUUUCUCCCAAGAAGGGCAUAAAGCUCCAGAGAUGCCAAACUGGAAGGAGCAGUAACUUCUGAAACAGCGUUCUGGCAGCUCUAUUUCUGCUUCCAUCAAUCUGGCUUCUUGUUGGUCCCAGUAAGUUUUUCAGAUCCCUUUCCCUUUUCUCUGUAGAGGCAGGGGAAGCCUCUUCACACCAGUGAGGGGGAUUCUAAGGAAUGUUUUGAAAAGAGGGGAGUUUGCAGAUGAUGAAGAACAGAAAUCCCCAUUUUCUAGAUUAACAAUACCCCCUUCAGAGAUUUUUCUUAAUGGUGCUAGAACUAUGACACUGAAUUACGCCUUGUCUGAGAAUCAGAAAGAGGUCCUACACACUCUAUUGCUCUUUUCUUCCAUGCCAGCUGACCAAGAUACAGUAAGGACCCAGUCCUUCACCACUGAUUUCAGUAGAGUGGAGCUGGUAUGCUUUACACAGUUUAUUGGCCAGAGCAACUUACUUAAUUAACGAUGCACUAAGAGACAUUCGGAGACCACUAUCCUGUAAACUCCCUCUGCCACAAGUAAUAACCUUUAUAUUUGUUCCAGGAUAAAUCCAUUGUUAUUUAAAUUUCAUAUGGUUAAACAAAAGUAUUUAUCAACCUAAAUCAUCUCUUGGAUAUUUUGUGACCUGAAAUGUCAGCUUUUCUGAUUAAUAUAGUGGUUCAACUGUGGAAAUGCAUAACAUUUAACAGAUAUUAAGCAAAAUAUGCAUAUGCUUUCUUACCUACUUUGAUUGAAAUCUAUAUAUGUUGGUGACUUCAAAUGGGAACCAAUUGCAUUUACAAUAGUGAAACUCUGGUUCAUCUCCAGUGAAGUCACUGAAAUUGUCCUAGAUUUAUUUUGGGACAAAUUAAAUCAGAACCUGAUCCAAAGUGUGAAUAACUGGUACCUUCCCAAGUAGUACUUGUAUAAUUUCUGUGCACAGGUGAGUUUUUCCUAGAUCACUGGCAUUUCUAAGAUCAGUGUAAUCUGGCCUGGGAUAUUUAUUGACCAUAACUUUCAUUACAGAGCAGCCAAAAACCAAAGUGUGCAAGUUUUAAAAGUCUGUAUUAAAGGUUCAAACCUUUUUGCUUAUGAAAAAUGUUCCUACAAAUGUUCCUGUCUCAUUUGGGAUAUUAAAUGUGAGCUAUACAUUUGCUCUGAAGGAACUGUUAUGACUAGUUAUAGCCCUUGAUCCAGAGCACCUUAUAAAAAAACAUUUUUUAUUUUAUUUUAUUUUAAGAGGAGAUAGUAGGCUACAAGGUGAAGUCAGGCUAUAUGGAGCUAGGUUGUAUAAAUAUAGCUCAGUAAAAUUUCCAUAGUAAAAUAAUAAUAAUAGUAAUAAUAAUAUAAUAAUAAUAACUCGUAACUGUCACCUGCUAUAUAUUGAGUACUUCAUCCAAAUAUCCAAGAAUACAUCUACAGGCAUACAUUACUUCACCACAGGUACUAGGGAAGUCAAAGUAUUUUGAAAUGUUAUCAAAAACUGCCAGUGAGUGAUAUUUUGCUCAGCAUCUUCUCUCCUCUUAUUCUCUCCCAAUCCUCUUUUGUUGGCAUUGGAGGCGCUCCAGAAACAUCCUGGAAGAGGGAAAUAAAUAUCCUCAAGAAUGGUGGGGCUGAAUAUACAUCAUCUGGAAGAAACACAAUGAUGAUAAAUGACUGGUGGAUGAAAGAGUAAGAAGUGAGACAAACAUACAGAAGUCUCCAACAUUAGAGCAAACUUCUUGUAGAGAAGUAAAGCAAGGACUGUGAGAACUCAUCUAGUCUAACCAGGGAUUGAACCUGCAUCAUGCUCUAACCAAGCUAAUCAGCUGCUGAAUGAUACAGCUUUGUGGAGCUAAAAAUAGCAGAAGGAAAUUAGCUUAAAAACUAUACCCAUGAAGUACAUGGGUACAUACUGGGAAUUAAUUAAAUCAAAGGUAAACAGGGAUUCAUCUUAAAAGCUACUAAAUCUUCUUCAGCAAAGAAUUAGGAAUGCACUCUUAGUCUGUUUCGAAUCUAUAGGAGUUUGCCACUGAUGGGAAAAUUUCACUUAAGGUAUAUAAACUUUUGCCAGUAUGAGAAUAAAGCCCCUUCUUUCUAUCCCUAUACAUUGGACUAUUUCAACUUGUGAGAGGCAAAUAUUAAACUGUAAAAAUAAGAUUUUUUUUAAGACAGAUAAUACAGUAACCAAAUAUUAUAAAUUCAUAUAAGUGUAUUAAGUGUGCUAAGUUAAAUAAGCAACAUUUUCUGUGAAGUCAUUCAUAAGCAGUUGUACAGUUUAUGAAAUUAUAAGGAAAUAUAUUGAAAGAUAAAAAUGGAUCCUAUUUACAAAUUAGAGCAAUCAGAAGAGUCACUACUAAAAGGUUAACAAUUACCAACAGUUAUUAAGCUUAGAUAUCUAUGAUACUUCAGCUCUGUGUUUAAACUUAGGACAGCCAAAACUGCAUGAAUUAUUAGUUAGUAUAUGGCAUAUAUUACACUCAAGGCUACUUCAGUCACUGUUCUAAAACACAGCACCAAGAACUCCCAUUUUGCUGGACAGGGAUAAAAUGGGAAGGAAAUGAGGUAGCUAUCCUCUGGUACCAAGGGUUCUAACUACAGCUAUCUCCUUCAUGUUGAUGUAGGUCCCUGUGAAGAUGUCUUGACUCCUUUAUGCAAAAUACAGACCCUGAUUUUAGACAACACUGUCACCUGGUCGCUCACCUAUGGAUCUAAAACCUCCCCAUUUUAUAUUAAUUCUGUAUAGUAUCAUAAGAUAUAGAAGGUCACCUAUUAAACCUUUAUCCUUACACACGGGAAGGGAACGAGAGGCCUCAGAUGUGGCUGAGUGAACUGCAUAUAAAGACUAACAUUUGAUUGAGAAAAUACUAGACAAUGAUUUUCACCAGUGCUUACUCUGUCUAAGCCUCAGUAAGGCUAGGGACAGACAUUCAAAAUGCCUGAGCCUGUAUUGAUUCAAUCUUUGCAGGUUAG